GGUUCAGGACGAACGCUGGCGGCGUGCUUAACACAUGCAAGUCGAACGAUGAUGCCCAGCUUGCUGGGUGGAUUAGUGGCGAACGGGUGAGUAACACGUGAGUAACCUGCCCUUGACUUCGGGAUAACUCCGGGAAACCGGGGCUAAUACCGGAUAUGAGCCGCUCUCGCAUGGGGGUGGUUGGAAAGUUUUUCGGUCAGGGAUGGGCUCGCGGCCUAUCAGCUUGUUGGUGGGGUGAUGGCCUACCAAGGCGACGACGGGUAGCCGGCCUGAGAGGGCGACCGGCCACACUGGGACUGAGACACGGCCCAGACUCCUACGGGAGGCAGCAGUGGGGAAUAUUGCACAAUGGGCGAAAGCCUGAUGCAGCGACGCCGCGUGAGGGAUGAAGGCCUUCGGGUUGUAAAC
rnacentral:rRNA from 1 species